UAUAAAAAAUAAAAAAACCUACCCAAAAACGGCCCUGUAGACAAGAAUAUAAAAAUAAGUACGGCCCUAUCAAAAACUGCUGGAACUUUUGUUUAUUGACAGAAAUAGCGCAGCUGGCCUGAACUGUGACACACUAUUAGAGGUUAACAUUUUAUUAUAUUUUACUCUUUAGAGUUAAUGAAUUACAAUUUGUGUGAAUUUUAAAUCAUGAGUUACGUAUUGGAAAAGGAAGAUAAAUUUAAAGGUUAACGGCCGAUUUUUUUUAAUUAGUGUGGUUUAGUGCGAGUGUUAUUUAUAAGUCUUAUCAAUAAAGCGUUAUAAUAACUCUAAUAUUAAUAAAAAUGCCGCCACGAAGAAGAUCUAAUCUCUCUCGAUAUAGCCGUAAUACAAUGAGACAACGUAAAAUUAGGAAACAAUUCACUGAAGAACAACGAAAAAUCAUACGAGAAAGGAGUCGAAUUGGCAUGGCCCGACUUCGUGAAUCUCAAACAGAAGAGCAAAGAGCGACAGCCCGUGAAAAGGGUCGGUUGCUAAUGAAGAAACGUCGAACUAAACUCAAAUAUGAACAACGAAAAAAUCUUCUACGCGCAAGCAUUGGGCCAAUGGACGUGGUCUGCAAGUAUUGUGGUGCAUUGAAGUGUGCUGAAGAAAUGCCUGGAUCAUGUUGCUUUAAUGGCAAAGUCGAAUUCUCAUUAUUAACUCCACCAUCUGAUCCAUUGCAUUCAUUGACUAGUGAUGAAACACCCAAAUCACAACAUUAUCUAGGAAGCACUCAAAACUACAAUGGUUUUCCAGUGAUUUCACUUGAGGCAGAUGCAGAGCAUUUAUUUCACAACGAUGAUCACCAUGAACCACAUCACCACUUGAAACAUGAAUCUGCUGAAGAGCAAUGUGAUGAAGAAGAUGUAAAGGGAUGGGUCAAAGUGGAGCAUCCUGAUGGCUGGACCCAAAUUGUUCCUUACACUGUUAAUAAACAUAAUGAAUUCGACGCUGACGUCUGAAGAAUUUUUCAGCUAUUCUUCAGACUUCAGAAUGUUGCAGAUGUUCCUAUGAAGUUUAGCACCAAAAAUAUAACUUGAAGGCUGUUAAAUAAGCACCACCCAAAGUAUGAAUUCAAAUAUGGUGUCGCGGACCACCAUACCCACGACAUGAAGUCUGCCGAAGAGGAACGCGACGGAGAUGUCGUCAAGGGAUGGUACAAACUGGAACAGCCCGAUGGCAGGACCCGUAUUGUUCAUUACACUGCCGAUAAACACAACGGCUUCAACGCUGAUGUGAAAUUUUCCGGUCAUGCUGACCAUCCUCAUCAUUAUUAAAUGAUUGUUACAGUUGUAUUGUAUUCAAAGGUGAUAACUAUGUCAAUUAAUUAAUAUGGUAGGGUAUUAUUGAAAAUGAACCAUUAAUAUAAUGUCAAAUAAAACUUGUGUUAAUAAGACGACAAAAA